CAGCCCACCCCCCAUUCCCAUCUCCUCCAGGGUAAAGACUCCCCUGAGGAUUGAGUUCAACCUGGUACACUCAGUCGAGGUGAGAAGGACAAAAAACUGGCUGGGGCACUGAACAGAACAAUGAACUGCUCUUGGAUUCUUUAGGGUUGUUUAAGCUUAAGGUGACCAAACACUCAUCUCCAAACCCAGUGGGAAACAAAAGAGAGGAGAUUACAAGGAUUAAAGAUAUCCUAUAAAGAAACAGACUUCCCUGGGAGCUAGUGACAUUUCUGUGACCUGUGAUCUUCAAAGAAGCCUCAAACUAGAAAACAAAUACAAACACUAAGUCCCUGUCAAAAGAGCCUUUGUCCAGUGACUGAUGGGGGCGGAUGCGGCACCAGGCCAAGCUUGGGGAGUCCAGUCCAGGAGAGGGAAGAGAGAUUCUAUGAACAAGAGGCAUCAAGAUUAUGAUGGAGAAACCUACGGAGACAGAUGGGCCAAGCUGGUGAGAAUUUACUAACUUUAGACCAACAGUUUGCAGUCUCCAUGGGACUGGACUAGGCCCUCUGCAUAAGCGAGAGAGCUGUGUAGCUUAAUC